rnacentral:tRNA from 1 species
GUUAUUAUAGUGUAAUUUUAACACGUCACAUUUUCAUUGUGAAGCCAAAGGUGAUAAUCCUUUUAAAAACA